AACGAACGCUGGCGGCAUGCCUAACACAUGCAAGUCGAACGAGACCUUCGGGUCUAGUGGCGCACGGGUGCGUAACGCGUGGGAAUCUGCCCUUGGGUGCGGAAUAACAGUUAGAAAUGACUGCUAAUACCGCAUAAUGACUCCGGUCCAAAGAUUUAUCGCCCAGGGAUGAGCCCGCGUCGGAUUAGCUAGUUGGUAGGGUAAAAGCCUACCAAGGCAAUGAUCCGUAGCUGGUCUGAGAGGAUGAUCAGCCACACUGGGACUCAGACACGGCCCAGACUCCUACGGGAGGCAGCAGUGGGGAAUAUUGGACAAUGGGCGAAAGCCUGAUCCAGCAAUGCCGCGUGAGUGAUGAAGGCCUUAGGGUUGUAAAGCUCUUUUACCCGGGAUGAUAAUGACAGUACCGGGAGAAUAAGCCCCGGCUAACUCCGUGCCAGCCGCCGCCGUAACAC
rnacentral:rRNA from 1 species